GUUUCUCGCUCAACUCAAAAAAAAUGAAACAAAAAUGCUUCCAUCGAGAAACUUCCCAAGAUUCUCCUCCUGCAUAAGUGGCCCUCUCUAAUUUGACUGGGGACUCCUUGAGAAAGAACCUAUGCUUUAUUAUUCUUUGUCUCCAGAGUGAAGCCUAGAGCCUGGCAUGAAGUCAUGUUUGGUAAAUGAUGGCUGGAUUCCAUUGCCUGUAUGGGCCAGGUGUCAACCACGCUGAGAUACAUGCCUGUGAUAGGGGAUGGAAGAUUACAGUCAUUCAAAGAAGGACUCACAGCAUGAAGCUUAGAGAAUGCAGACAUAGAGGUUGGAGUUGUUGGGAUUUGAGCAUCUUGUAACUAUGCAGACAAUAUAUAACAAGACAGACACAAGGACUUCAUUCUCAACAUUCUUAAGCCAAGAAAUCAUAGCCAGCAAAACACCUAUCAUUAACUUCUUAUGUGAGAGAAUAAAAAUAAACAUCUA